UACGUAGGGUGCGAGCGUUGUUCGGAAUUAUUGGGCGUAAAGAGCUCGUAGGCGGCUUGUCGCGUCGGAUGUGAAAGCCCGGGGCUUAACUCCGGGUCUGCAUUCGAUACGGGCAGGCUAGAGUUCGGUAGGGGAGAUCGGAAUUCCUGGUGUAGCGGUGAAAUGCGCAGAUAUCAGGAGGAACACCGAUGGCGAAGGCAGCUCGCUGGGACGGUACUGACGCUGAGACGCGAAAGCGUGGGGAGCAAACAGG
rnacentral:rRNA from 1 species